ensembl:snoRNA
CUCAUUUUGUGGUUCAUUAGCAUGAUCACGUGUGUGUGAGAUGUGCCCCCCUCAAAUAUUGUUAGGCUGUUGGCACAUUACCCAUAUGACA